rnacentral:rRNA from 1 species
GGCCGUUUUUUUUUUUUCCGGAGGGGCGGUUAACACAUGCAAGUCGUACGAAGGCAAGCGAAAAGCUUGCUCUCUUGGCGCCGAGUGGCGCCCUUUGUGAGUAAUAUAUCGGAACGUGCCCAGUAGCGGGGGAUAACUACUCGAAAGAGUGGCUAAUACCGCAUACGCCCUACGGGGGAAAGGGGGGGAUCGCAAGACCUCUCACUAUUGGAGCGGCCGAUAUCGGAUUAGCUAGUUGGUGGGGUAAAGGCUCACCAAGGCAACGAUCCGUAGCUGGUUUGAGAGGACGACCAGCCACACUGGGACUGAGACACGGCCCAGACUCCUACGGGAGGCAGCAGUGGGGAAUUUUGGACAAUGGGGGAAACCCUGAUCCAGCCAUCCCGCGUGUAUGAUGAAGGCCUUCGGGUUGUAAAGUACUUUUGGCAGAGAAGAAAAGGUAUCUCCUAAUACGAGAUACUGCUGACGGUAUCUGCAGAAUAAGCACCGGCUAACUACGUGCCAGCAGCCGCGGUAAUACGUAGGGCGCAAGCGUUAAUCGGAAUUACUGGGCGUAAAGCGUGUGUAGGGCGGUUCGGAAAGAAAGAUGUGAAAUCCCCAGGGCUCAACCUUGGAACUGCAUUUUUAAUCUGCCGGAGCUAGAGGUAUGUCAGAGGGGGGAAGGAAUUCCCACGUGUUAGCAGUGAAAAUGGCGUAGAAUAUUGUGGGAGGAAAUACCGAUUGGCAAAAGGCAGCCCCCCCUGGGAAAAUACUUGACGCUCAGGACACGAAAAGCGCGGGGGGGGAAAGCCGUUUUAGAAUAGCCCUUGGCAGUCCCACG